rnacentral:sRNA from 1 species
UAGACGUUGGGGAGCGGGAAGGCAACGGCAGUGGGAUCGGGAUGAACAGCGGCGGCGGCUUCGGUUUGGGCUUAGGCUUCGGCCUCACCCCCACGUCGGUGAUUCAGGUGACGAAUCUGUCGUCGGCGGUGACCAGCGAGCAGAUGCGGACGCUUUUUUCCUUCCUAGGAGAAAUCGAGGAGCUGCGGCUCUACCCCCCGGACAACGCACCUCUUGCUUUUUCCUCCAAAGUAUGUUAUGUUAAGUUUCGUGAUCCAUCAAGUGUUGGUGUGGCCCAGCAUCUAACUAACACGGUUUUUAUUGACAGAGCUCUGAUAGUUGUUCCUUGUGCAGAAGAUGACUAGACUGGCCAAGGCAGACCUGUUACACUUGCCUGAGUUAGGCAUUGUUUGCCAUGCCACUAAACCUGCCGUCAAGUGAAACCUUCAUUGGGGAAAUGAGAUCGGAGUCUGAACCGCAGAAGAUGGACGCCCUGUCUCUGUUUUUUAUUGUUUUACUUUAAUUUCAUUUCUUUUUCUUUAUUUUGUCCCUUUUUUUGUUUUUGUUUUUGUUUUUGUUUUGUUAAAUCUCUUUCACUUUAACUUGUGAGCUGGUUUUCCCAGUUCUUUGUAAAUGGUAUUUCAUUAAGGGUUCAUAACGUGUUGCAAAUUAUAUUGGGAGAUGAUUAGUAGAGCUCAACCUUAAGAUAAAGCAAAUUUUCAUGUGGUAAAUUAGGAUACAGUGUUGUGAAGCUCAUUGUGAGUCUUAAUUUGUGUGUAUGGACUGAUAAGGUACAUUUUAUUCUUGAAACAUUAAAACACUGAUAAGUAUCUCACGAACACUUUCUGAUCUCAGCGCAACAUUUUUCUAAAUUUUUUCCCCCAGUCUACAUCUCUCAUAAAAACUGAUAGCUUCUAAUUUUUGUCCUUCCCCCUGGAAUUUUAGGCAUAAAAAAUCAUCAAGGAAAAUAAGUAAAUAUAACAAUCUGGGAGUAAAGAAGAGCCUUUCAUUUUUAUGAUGGUUAUUUAUUAUAGAACUUACUUCCUUGACUUACGAAGACUUUUUGUUGCCUAUGUGGGGAAUGGAUACUUGAGAAAUUUACUUAUUUGUAUGUAGGUUUUUGUUAGCUUGAAUUUUUUGUUGAAUAUUUUUCAGAGGUUACUAGCUUCUAAAUGGAUUCUGAGAUUAGGACUAUUACUUUAAUACUGUGAGAGAUGUUUUCCUCAGUUGACUUUGAGGAGUAUAGUUUGGGAAAAAUGCUAAAAAAUGCUUAUUUGUUUUAUACUUUUAUAAGCUCUGUUAUUUGGAGGGUAAAUUUGGUAGAAUUCUAUCUUGGAAAUUAAGCAAUGGAGCUUUUUCUUAAAGUACUUUUACCAUUACCUUUAGGUAAUUAGAAUUAGUAUAUAGAGUAAUUAGAAUGGUAAUUAAAAGUUAAUUUAUUAAAAAAUGUGCUUAUAGUGGAGUUAUAUAUUUAUAGUAGUAUACUAUAUUUAUAGUAGUAUACUCUUUUGAAAGGCAGUGAGAGAGUCUGACAACCUACUGAUAUUUUAUUUAAGCUGAAAGUGAAAGACUUCAUAAUACUAAGUAGUCAACUUUUGGCCAGUGUCGAAUACACUUUUUGUUUGUAUAGUCUUUCUACAGUGUCUUCAAUAGGUAGUUUUGCUUAUUAAAGGACAAGUAAUAUUACAUUUGGAACAUUACUAGAUUAGAACUCUUAGUUUCCUUAGGUGCAUACAUUAAGGUAGUGAAGAUGGAGUUUCUGCCUCAAAACCUCAAUUUAUCAAGAAUGUUCAGUUUUUACAAACCUUUUAAGAUAAUACCAAUUUAUAACAGAUAAAACAGGUGAAAUCAAUAUAAAUAGUAUAGUGUAUAUGUGGGUAUAUAUAAAUACAUGUGUUAAUACCAAUAACUAAUACAUAUAAAGCAGAUUAUUGUUAUUUGAUGUUUUCAAUAAGGCCUACCUGCCUUUUGUUGAUGCGUGUUAAGAAAUCUGUUCUCCAGAAUUUUUACUGAAAUAAUAAAGAUAACUUUGUUUUUGAAAGUAAUAAAGUGAUAUAAACUUCGAUGCUGCAAAGGUAGAAAAUAGUAGGUUUUAUUUGCUUCCUAUAAAUAAGGCAUAGCCAUUAUUUAAAUCAAGUUUUAAAUUCCGACUUGAGUUCCAUGCAUGUUUAAAGAUAUAUUCAGAUAAUAUUGUUUAGGGAUUUAUCUCUGCACAUGUGGUUGUUUUAAAUAUUUUUACAACUGAAACCAGGCAUGGUGCUUGUGAAAAUUUACUGCAUAUGCUAUAUUUCAGUUUAGCAUGAUUUUGUGCAUUGUCUUUUAAAACACUUUUGGAGAAUUAAUAAUAGAAAUGCUUUACCAGCUACCACAUGAGUGUUCUUCUAAAUAUAUCCACAUGUAGUCAACUAUUUAAAUUUUUUUUUUUUUUUUUUGACUAAGGGGAUAAGGAAAAAUAACGUGAAAGUUGCAGUCCUUAUCAGAAGUAAUUGAUUAGAAUUCAGCAAUGAAUAUGACAAAUCGUACUUAUUUCAGAGUAAGUUUUUCAUUUUUUUAGGUUGUAGGAAGUUUUUUUCCUACUGAGUGUUAUUAGAUUAUUUGAAUGUUACUGUUGUUAUUAGGCAAUUAAAAUGUUUUUAAGCAAGCUUUAAGGCAUUAACCUCCCCCUUCAGAUAAGUAUACAUAAAUUGGUUCUAAAAGUUAAUAAGAAGUUUUCUGAAACCAGGGAAUUGUUUUUUCCUAAAACAUUUUUGGUAGUUUCCCAAGGCAUAUUUUUUGGAACUGAAUUCUUUUAGGCAUCUCUGAUGUUGGUGAGAUGCCUUAUUAACUGAAUGGAUGUAGGCUUCCUUUUACGUUCAAGUUGAUUACAUGGAGUAAGUUUUUGUUUUCUAUUUGAAAUUAAAUGGAAUCUGUUGGAGGGUUAUCAAAAUUGUUUGCAUCACAAAUAGGUAGUUUCAGUAACAGGAUAGGGGCACUCAUUAAGAAAUUUCAAUUCGCACAUAUUUGUUUUUUCUUUUUCUUUUUUUUGACUAAUUUGGUUAUUUGCCAUUUCUGGGGAUUAAACUUUAAAAAAUGUUCUUCUUUUCUGUAUCUGAUGUUCUGUGUGCUAUUAGUGAUGCAGCCAACACGAACGGUUGUCAUGUGUAACACAACUUUCGAUCACCGCGAAAACACCGUCCUGGGAAAGCGUCCAUGCUUGAUAUCGUUUGGUUCAUGAACAUUAAGUUUCCAGUACAGGUAAAAUCCCAGAGGAAUCCAAAGCCCUCUCUUUAUUGGCUCCUGCUCCAACCAUGACAAGUCUGAUGCCUGGUGCAGGAUUGCUUCCAAUACCAACCCCAAAUCCUUUGACUACUCUUGGUGUUUCACUUAGCAGUUUGGGAGCUAUACCAGCAGCAGCACUAGACCCCAACAUUGCAACACUUGGAGAGAUACCACAGCCACCACUUAUGGGAAAUGUGGAUCCUUCCAAAAUAGAUGAAAUUAGGAGAACGGUUUAUGUUGGAAAUCUGAAUUCCCAGACAACGACAGCUGAUCAACUACUUGAAUUUUUUAAACAAGUUGGAGAAGUGAAGUUUGUGCGGAUGGCAGGUGAUGAGACUCAGCCAACUCGGUUUGCUUUUGUGGAAUUUGCAGACCAAAAUUCUGUACCAAGGGCCCUUGCUUUUAAUGGAGUUAUGUUUGGAGACAGGCCACUGAAAAUAAAUCACUCCAACAAUGCAAUAGUAAAACCCCCUGAGAUGACACCUCAGGCUGCAGCUAAGGAGUUAGAAGAAGUAAUGAAGCGAGUACGAGAAGCUCAGUCAUUUAUCUCAGCAGCUAUUGAACCAGAGUCUGGAAAGAGCAAUGAAAGAAAAGGCGGUCGAUCUCGUUCCCAUACUCGCUCAAAAUCCAGGUCUAGCUCAAAAUCCCAUUCUAGAAGGAAAAGAUCACAAUCAAAACACAGGAGUAGAUCCCAUAAUAGAUCACGUUCAAGACAGAAAGACAGACGUAGAUCUAAGAGCCCACAUAAAAAACGCUCUAAAUCAAGGGAGAGACGGAAGUCAAGGAGUCGUUCGCGUUCACGGGACAAGAGAAAAGACACUCGAGAAAAGAUCAAGGAAAAGGAAA